AAGUGUUAUUUACAAAAAUAAUCAACAUUGCAAUUUUAAGUUUAACCACAAGGGUGUGUAAAAGCUUAGGUGGCGAGGUGGCGCGUGAUCUUUUUUUGCACGUGAUCAACAGACGUAAUUAAGCGAGCCCCAGCCGUAAACGUACUCAACGGAUUCAACCUGCUGUGAACAGGUAAGUUAUGUUUAUCCAUUCCAAACAGUGUGUGUUUAUUUUGUUUUGUGUACUUAUUUUAUUGUCAAAAAUAUUUUUGUUAGAAAACGUCGAGUUUUUCGAGAAUUGUUUUCGAUAAACGGAUGACAGAAUUUGACACCGCGGACAUUCCGUAGGCUAUUUUCAGACUUGGUUAGUUGUUAUUAACGAACUGAUGCCUUGGUUAGGUGUUAUUAACUGACUGUUAAUAUGUUCGCGUAUUAAAUAUUUUUCAGUGAGUUAUUUUAGACCGUCUUGGGGAACUCGUUUAUCUCUUUCAGUCCGAGGGGAACUCGUUCCUUAAUAACAGCCAUGUGAAAGUAAAUACACGGUCGUAAAAUUGACUUUUUCUUCCCACACAAAAAAUGACAUCCGUCCUUUUAUAAUAUUAACCAUUUGAAUGCAUUUUUAAUGAUUUUGUCUAAGUGACAUGCUUAAAAGUGGGCUUCUAUGGUAAAAGUUCACCUGUCAAUCAAAGAGCUCAGUUCAAUACAAGCGCACAGGCACUGUAGACAGUCAGACAGAGAAGUGAUUAAGUAAGGAAACUAACAUGAUGAUAACUUGAUAAUGACCCCCUUUGCCUAGCAAUCUAUUCAUAAAAUUAAGAGCCUUUAUUAACCUUUGGAUUUGAAACAAAAUAGAAUAAUUGUCUUUUCUGUCAUGUUCUUAACAUACUGUUUAGUCAAUAAAGAUCAAUGAAAACUGAAUGCAUAUUAAUUUACAAAGGCAUUUGCAAUAUAUUUGACUUCUUUUUCUCCUUUCUGUUUUUGUAAACAGGACCUACAUACACUCCAAAGGCUCUUUUCAGAGCCAUUUUACCAAGCAUCUUUGUACAUUGUGCCAGUUUACCUUCAGUAGUGCCAGUUUUCCUGAGAUUUUACCUCGUUCUCCACUGCCUCCAGUAAUUCCUGGUUUUAAGAUGUUAUAUAUACAUCAGGGUUCCCCAAAUCUUACCCUGGAGGGCCGGAGCACUGCAGAGUUUAGCUCCAACGCUGAUCAAACACACCUGAGCAAGCUAAUCAAGGUCUUCAUGAUCACUAGAAAAUCACAGGUGGGUGGAGUAAUGGAGUAAAGAUGCAACGGAGCAGCUGAUAAGAAAACAUGCUUAAGACCAUCUUAAACGUGCACCAUCAAGAAAGGGAGGGGUACACAAUAAACAUUUUUUUUAACAUUACUUUUUGAAUAGAUGCACUUUUAUUUAUUUUUUAAAGUAUAUAUAUUGUUUAUUUAUGUUGUUUUUAAAUGUUAUAAUUGUAUUGUUUUUAUUUGUUGUAUUUACCUUUUAUGGAUUUGUGCACACACAAACACACACACACAACCACAUUUAUACAAAAUAAGUUUUGAAUAAAUACGUUUAAUGGA